rnacentral:rRNA from 1 species
GAGAGUUGAUCCUGGCUCAGGAUGAACGCUGGCGGCGUGCUUAACACAUGCAAGUCGAACGAAGCAACUUAUUACGAUCUCUCGGGGUGACGAUUGUGACUGAGUGGCGGACGGGUGAGUAACGCGUGGGUAACCUACCUGUACAGGGGGACAGCAGUUGGAAACGACUGCUAAUACCGCAUAAGCGCACAGCUUCGCAUGAAGCAGUGUGAAAAGUUUUUUCGGUACAAGAUGGACCCGCGUCUGAUUAGCUAGUUGGUGAGGUAACGGCCCACCAAGGCGACGAUCAGUAGCCGACCUGAGAGGGUGACCGGCCACAUUGGGACUGAGACACGGCCCAAACUCCUACGGGAGGCAGCAGUGGGGAAUAUUGCACAAUGGGCGAAAGCCUGAUGCAGCCGACGCCGCGUGAGCGAAGAAGUAUUUCGGUAUGUAAAGCUCUAUCAGCAGGGAAGAUAAUGACGGUACCUGACUAAGAAGCACCGGCUAAAUACGUGCCAGCCGCGGC